rnacentral:lncRNA from 1 species
GAAGGAUAAUUCUACCUUGCCACCCAUAGAUGAAGGUUCGAAGGGGAAGGAUCAGUCAACUUUGAUCCUCACUGGAUCGGUGCUGCUCAGUAGCUCAGCGUUCUUUAACUUUCUCUUCCUCCUAGCAAUUGUUCUGUUCAUCCGCCGCUGCAAGCACAGAAAAACAAGUGUUCUUCAGACAUCCCCAGCCAUGGAGGGAACAAAUCUCCGGAGCUUCACUUACGAAGAGCUAGAAGAAGCCACCAAUGGAUUCAGAGAUGAACUGGGGAGCGGGGCUUUUGCAACAGUUUACAAAGGGGCUCUACCCCAUGAUGAUGGAAUCAAUUUGAUUGCAGUGAAAAAGCUGGAGAGGAUGGAGAAAGAAGGAGACAAGGAAUUUGGGGCAGAAGUGAAAGCAAUUGGCCGGACAAAUCACAAGAACCUAGUCCAACUCCUGGGGUACUGCAACGAGGGGCAACACCGGCUUCUAGUAUACGAGUUCAUGAGCAAUGGUUCUUUGGCAACCUUCCUAUUUGGAAAUUCAAGGCCAGAUUGGUGUAAAAGAACACGGAUCAUCCUAGGAACUGCAAGAGGGCUCUUGUACUUGCAUGAGGAGUGCAGCACCCAGAUCAUACACUGUGACAUCAAGCCUCAAAACAUACUUUUAGAUGACUUUUUAACAGCAAGGAUUUCAGAUUUUGGGCUAGCCAAGCUUUUGAAGACGGAUCAGACGCGAACCAUGACUGGAAUCAGGGGAACCAAAGGGUAUGUUGCGCCUGAAUGGUUCAAGACAGUGCCUGUUACAGCCAAGGUUGAUGUUUACAGCUUUGGGAUUGUGUUGCUAGAGAUCAUUUUCUGCAGGAAGAACUUCGAACCCGAUGUAAGGGAUGAAAGUCAGAUGAUCCUGGCUGAUUGGGUGCAAGACUGCUACAAAGAGAAGAGAUUGGAUUUGCUGGUAGGAAAUGAUGAAGAGGUAUUUGGUGAUAUGGAGAAACUGGAGAAGUUUGUGAUGAUAGCAAUAUGGUGUACGCAGGAGGAUCCAUCUCGAAGACCCACCAUGAAGAAAGUUGUGCAAAUGCUAGAAGGAGCUGCUGAAGUUUCUAUUCCUCCAGACUCAUCUUUCUCAUCUGCCAGUAGUUCAAUCUAAUGCUAAUUUCCAUUUGGGUAUGUAUUUUCGGUUACUGUUCAGUGACAAACAAAGGAGACAGUUAUGUUGUGCUCCUAGCAUAUGAAUAAUCCAUAUGGUUUUGGAUCAUUUUUUACAUCAACCUCUGCUCAUCUCUCAAUUCAAAUUAUUAUUCCCUUUGAAGAAGUUAAAUUUUGGCUAUUUUUAUCCAAUCAAUAGUUAUUUACGAACUAGCAACAAAAAUAACAGUCACUAAGAGUUCAUUUGAUAGUGUUUUUAAAAAUUACUUUUAGCCUAAAAAGGGUUUUUGACAAAAUUUAUGAAACUCUUAAAAAUUUUAAAAAUUAUUUAAGGUAUUAAAAAAUCACUUGUAGUGUUUUUUUUAGAAAUACUUAGAACCCGUUUAGUAGUAAUACUAGAAAGCGCUUUUAAUAUUUUUAAUACCUGAAAAUUUUCAUCAUUCAAAUGAUAGAAAUACUAGAAACGUUUUCUAAAAUCACUCCCAAAUGCAUUCUUAGAUUAAAAAGUAUAUAAUUUGAUUAAAUAAAUACCAUGGUUAAGAAAAGAAACAACUUAACUCUUACUACAUCAUGCAAUAUUUGGCAUAACCAAUUUUUUUGACUUCCAUUAACCUCUUUGUAUAUGCUCAAUAAGAUGGCAUCACUUGAAUCACCUUCUACCUAUAGGUUAAAGAUAAGAAAAUGUUAGUGUACUAAUUGAUACCUAUCGAACUUAUCAUCCCAACCAUCCAAACUGUAUGAUGAAAUCUAAGUUAAUGAAUAUAGAUGCAAAUAAUGGGAUUAAAGUACAAAAGAAUGGAAUUGCAUAUAAACAAUGAGAUCAAUAUUAUAUAAAAGAAUGUGACCAAAAUACAAAGCAAUGUUUGGACUUGGACAUAAAACAAUGAAACCCAGUUGUGCACAUGGCACAUUAUAAUUGGUUUUGUUUUUCGGUACAUACCAAUUCGAUAUUGUAGUGAGACCCUUAAAUAUAUCCAUGACCUUUGCCUUAUAAUUUUAUGUGUGAUAUCUAAGAAAUGUGUAAUUUGAUUUGAUAAGAAGGGAAAGUUUUCUAUGCCUUAUGGGAGUAGCAUAUGGAUUAGCCUUAUCACAAAAUUAUGUGGUAUAUAAGAUGUGUUUUAUAGACUUGAAAUUGCAGGAAAAGGUAACCCACAAGGAGUUCUUUAGUGAAAGUACCAUGGCAACCUCAUGGAGUGGAAAAAGCUAUAUUAUAGUUAUCCUAGGCUUUUCAUAGGUUUACUCUUAUAAAUUAGAAGGAGAAGUUCUUUUUUUUUGCUUGCAGGGAAGGGGAUGUAAUACUUGGUUAUUAAAAAAUGUUAAUUUUUAUGCUUAAUGUUAAUUAGAUUGAAUUUAGAUAUUAAAACUAGUUUAAGGUUGAUAAUUUUAAUUAUAAGUUAGACCCAAUUUAAUGCUAAUUAUAAUUAAUUGAUGGCUUAAGUUUGUGUGUUAAGGAUGUGGGGCCUAAUUACAAUUAUGAGAACUUUAAAAGGAUGGACCAUUUAAGAAAUCUUAAAAAGUAAAAAGUAGGGGACUUCAAUGUAAAAAAUAAGUUGGUUUGUAUUAGCUCUAGGGCAUUGCUCCAAAAGUAUUUAAGAAACUAACAACUAUAAUAAGAAGUCUUACUUAGAAGAAGUCUUGCUAAAUUUAAAGAUAAAAAUUUUUAGAAAAGUAAUUGUAAUUAGAUUGGUUAAAUAAAUUCCACGCCAUCUAUGUCAUGUCAAAUUUUGUAUGUUGACCCAUUUUCUUGUGUGCAAAUAUUAUUAUUUUGAAUUUAAUGUUUGUAUAACUUUAAAACAUGUUUACAUAGUUAAAAUGAGUCCGUUAUAUAUAAAAUAUAAAAGACUUCUCUUCCUAGUUGAUAUGGUAUCUCAUCAAUCACCCUCUCUCUCGUGCAUAUAUGACUUUCUUGUUACAUUCCAUGGUACAAAAUUCAUACAUUAAGAAGUUGAUCAUUGUAGGUGGUAUCGUGCAAUGGCAUGGGACAUGAUGAGGUCAUCAUUUAGGCUAUAAGAACUCAUUUAGAUAUGGGAUGAUUAUGAGAACUUAUUUAGGUUAUAAGGAAAAGUUCUUGACAAUUUAUAUACAAUGUGUUCCUCUAAACUAUAUAAACAUAUUUUAAAACAACUAGGUUAUUUAAGGUUUGAACUUGAAGAAGACGAUAUUUGUACAAAAGGAAGAGUGUCAUUACAAAUUGAAUACCUCAUUAAAUUUGGAAAUUUAAAAUCUAUUUGUCCUCAUUUUGUCCACAUAGGACAAGACAAGAACAUUUUGUCCAUAUAUGUGAAUGAUUAUGAGAUCCAAUGUCAUGUGCGACACAUGACCAAAAGUUUCUAAUAUUCCAUAUAUAGUGAGAUCUCCUUAUUUGUGUUGAUGUGUUUUAAAACUUCGAGAUCCAUAGACAUUAAGUCCGAGACACAAAUCAAAGCAAUCCUUCAUCAAAUGUGGGAGUGUAUAAAAGCUAAUCCUCCACAUAUGGAAGUUUGUCCAAUCCUACAAUUCCAUAGGAUAUGAGAGUUUGUUUGGGAGGGUUAGAGGAAAUAGUUGUGAGAUCUUAUAUUGGUUAUUUAGGGAGAUAUAAUAUUUUAUAUAUGGUAGACUUUUUUUUAGCCAUAUAGACGUAUUUUAAAUUCACACAGACCUUAAGCUUAGAGCAGAUGAUAUUUAAAUAUAAAGGAUAUAUUCAUUACAAAUGGUAUUAUAGUUAGAUAUAAAAGUCUUUUUUAUUGGUCUUGUGGGAUCCCAUAUUAGUUAGGAAGAGAAGUUCUUGACACUUCAUAUGUAGAGAACUCCUUUUGAUCAUAUAUAGAUGUGUUUUCAAGCCAUGCAAGCCUUAAGUUGAUAACAGUCAAUAUCUACCAAGAGCAUAUUAUUACAAAUUGUUUUUUAGUGAAUUUUUAGACAAGUUGAAUCUAACCUUAGAAAGAAUUAGAUCGGCAGAAUUAUUUGACAUUUAAAUUUGAUUUAAGUUUAUGGUAAAUGGAGUUAAUCAAGAGCAAGAAUGAGCAAACUCCACUUGUUAUUACAUCAUUGUUGGACAACCCUACCUCAGAUGCCCAUACACCCCCUAUGCUCUGUUCCCAUUGUUUGAGAUCUGAGAGCAGGGAAGCUUGGCCAUAUUGCAAGGGGCCUGUACCAUCGCCCAGCUGCAUGCUACAGAAAACAUGUGCCACGACCAUGGAACACUCACUGAAUUUGUGCAGAGUUGUAUAGUUUUUGCUACCUUGCUGCUAGAGAACAGUUCCUUGUAUAUCCAAUUUCUGUAUGAAAUUGUGGAAUCCCAAGAAAAGAAAAUGGAGAAAUUCAGUUCAAUUUGGAAAAGUCAGACUUCUAGAAGAGUCGAACAACUUAGGGAAUGAAAAUCUUAAAAUUCAAUGCAGAAAGGUUUGGAAAAGUUAUUAGCCAUGUCUGAAGUAUAUUUUUGACAUUGUCAAUGCCCCUGAAGUAUAUUUUUGAAGUCUAUGAACUAUUUUGACCGGAAGCCACCUUAAUAAACUCUACAAGACCAAUUCAUAAGGCAUUUUGUUGAGGUUAGAAAUUUCCUCAACAGCGCAUAGAUUAAUCUGUGUUGAUGCUUGUUCCAACCAUUCUGGAUGGCGGUCAAGGUUAAGGGAUCAGCCAACAAGGCUUAUAUCAUACCCUAAUCAAUCUCUAGUUGCGUAAUUUUCAAUUUCGGUUCAUUUUUUUAUCAGUUUAGUUGGGUGCAACAAAGUCACUUUUGAACUUGAGAAUGGAUCAUUCCAAUGACAACUCUUAGAACAAUCUAUAGGAUAUGAUGUUAAAUGUUAAUAAAAAGUUAACUUCUGGAUACCAAUUGACUUCCAUGAUCCUAGAAUUCAUAUCAGAGUCAAGGAUUAUGAUUCAAGUCAUGAGAGCAUCAUGUUAAGAUGCAGCAACAUCACUUUAGGGAUAGAUCACCCAAAACUCUUAAAACAAACUUAUGUGGUAUGAUGUUGAAUGCUAUAAAAAGUUUGGCCUAUAUUAACCUAUAGGUUUUUCGAAUGAGAUGAUCAAAACCCCUGAUCCAACAAUUGAUAUUAGAGCCGAGAGUCACGGUCAAGUCAUGGGAGUGUCAUGUUGGUGCACAAUAAUGCUGCUACAGAAUGAUGACUCACUCAAACGACAACUCUUAGAACAGGUCUAGAGGGCACGAUGUGAAAUAUCUUAAAAAGAAUUGCUGGCCUACCUCACUGGCAAUUGGGUUUCAGCCAGAAAUGCUUCUGUUGCGUACUCUGCAUUAAUGUCCCCAUCCAAGGGUGGUUCAGCACAACAAGCAAUCCAUAAACAAAGCAAGUAAAUACAUUCUAACUCUAAAAAAUCAAAGUUUGAAAUCAAGUAAAUACAUGGCAGCUUCAAGUCGAAGAAAGUUUGGAAUCAUUAGGAGACUGAUUAUUAGAACAAGUCAAUGGAAGAAAACAAAUUGAAAACCAUCUAUAAAAUUUUCAAGCACACCUGAACAAAAUGGAGAUUUCAUCAUUUCUCUAGUGAUUUACAAUCUAGAGAUUUUGGCUUAAAUUCUUGAAGUUCACGUCUUUGUAAUUUUAUCUUCCUGCAAUGAAAACUGCAGUACCUUAUUGUCUCUGCUGGUUGCCUCUCCUCCUCCUCCUCCUCCUCCUCCUGCUGCUGCUCCCAGCGUCGGUUGUUGCUCAAGCUUACAGUAACAAAACUCUGGGCUCGUCCCUCACAGCAGGAGACAAUGAAUCUUGGGCAUCAGAGUCUGGCGAAUUCGCUUUUGGAUUCCAAGAGAUUGGAACUGGGGGUUACUUGCUGGCUGUUUGGUUCAACAAGAUAUCUGAAAAGACGGUAGUUUGGUCAGCCAAUGGGGGUAAUCUAGCGAAAAAGGGAUCCAAAGUUCAACUUACUAGUGAUGGAAGUUUUGUGCUGAACGAUCAGGAAGGUGAAAAGAUAUGGCCGGUUGAUUCUACGAUUACUGGUGUGGCCUAUGCAGCCAUGCUCGACAGUGGAAACUUCGUGCUGGCAAGGCAGGAUUCCAUGAAUUUGUGGGAGAGUUUUGAUAAUCCAACAGAUACGAUAUUGCCCACACAGGCAAUGAAUCAAGGCAGCAAGCUGCUUGCUCGUUUAUCAGAAACGAAUUACUCAAGUGGAAGAUUCAUGUUUACACUAGAAUCUACUGGAAAUCUGGCGAUGUACACCACUAAUUUCCCACAGGAUUCUGAAAAUUUUGCUUACUGGUCAUCAAAGACUACUGGCAGUGGCUUUCAAGUGAUUUUCAACCAGUCUGGUUCCAUCUACCUUAUGGCGAGCAAUGGAAGCAAACUUAUGGAUGUGCUCACAAAUGAAGCUUCAACAGAAGACUACUACCAGAGAGCAAUUCUUGAAUAUGAUGGAGUUUUCAGACAAUAUGUCUACCCAAAGUCUUCUGGCUCAAGUGCUGGGAGGCCUAUGGCAUGGUCCUCUUUAACCUCGUUUGUGCCUGACAAUAUCUGCACAAGUAUCAGGGCAGAGACAGGCAGUGGAGCUUGUGGCUUCAACAGCUACUGCACAAUGGGAAAUGAUGACAGACCAUACUGUCAGUGCCCUCCUGGUUACACCUUCUUGGAUCCACAAGAUGAUAUGAAUGGAUGCAAACAGAACUUUGAACCAGAGAGUUGCAGUGAAGAAUCACAAGAGAAGGGUCUGUUUGGUUUUGAAGAGAUGACGGAUGUGGACUGGCCGCUGUCAGAUUAUGGGCAUUUUACAGAAGUAACAGAGGAUUGGUGCAGACAAGCUUGCUUGGAUGAUUGUUUUUGUGAUGUUGCCAUUUUUGGAGAUGGGGGGGAUUGUUGGAAGAAGAGAACCCCUCUCUCAAAUGGGAGGACUGAGUCUAAUAAUGGACGAAGAAUUCUGAUUAAAGUACGGAAGGACAAUUCUACUUCGGAACCCAGAAAUGAAGGUAAAAAAGAUCAGUCAACUUUGAUCAUCACAGAAUCUGUGCUGUUAGGUGGCUCUGUUUUUCUGAAUUGCCUCCUCCUCCUAGCAGCUUUUAUUAAGAGAAAGUCAAAGACUCUUCAGCCACACCAGGCCAUGGUGGGGGCAAAUCUAAAAACUUUCAGUUACAAGGCGCUAGAAGUGGCUACUAAUGGCUUCAAGGAUGAGCUGGGAAGGGGAGCUUUUGCAACAGUUUACAAAGGGGCUCUACCCCAUGAUGAUGGAAUCAAUUUGAUUGCAGUGAAGAAGCUGGAGAGGAUGGAGAAAGAAGGAGACAAGGAAUUUGGGGCAGAAGUGAAAGCAAUUGGCCGGACAAAUCACAAGAACCUAGUCCAACUCCUGGGGUACUGCAAUGAGGGGCAACACCGGCUUCUAGUAUACGAGUUCAUGAGCAAUGGUUCUUUGGCAACCUUCCUAUUUGGAAAUUCAAGGCCAGAUUGGUGUAAAAGAACACGGAUCAUCCUAGGAACUGCAAGAGGGCUCUUGUACUUGCAUGAGGAGUGCAGCACCCAGAUCAUACACUGUGACAUCAAGCCUCAAAACAUACUUUUAGAUGACUUUUUAACAGCAAGGAUUUCAGAUUUUGGGCUAGCCAAGCUUUUGAAGACGGAUCAGACGCGAACCAUGACUGGAAUCAGGGGAACCAAAGGGUAUGUUGCCCCUGAAUGGUUCAAGACAGUGCCUGUUACAGCCAAGAUUGAUGUUUACAGCUUUGGGAUUGUGUUGCUAGAGAUCAUUUUCUGCAGGAAGAACUUCGCACCCGAUGUAAGGGAUGAAAGUCAGAUGAUCCUGGCUGAUUGGGUGCAAGACUGCUACAAAGAGAAGAGAUUGGAUUUGCUGGUAGGAAAUGAUGAAGAGGCAUUUGGUGAUAUGGAGAAACUGGAGAAGUUUGUGAUGAUAGCAAUAUGGUGUACUCAGGAGGAUCCAUCUCGAAGACCCACCAUGAAGAAAGUUGUGCAAAUGCUAGAAGGAGCUGCUGAAGUUUCUAUUCCUCCAGACUCAUCUUUCUCAUCUGCCAGUAGUUCAAUCCAAUUCUAAUUUCCAUUUGGGUAUGCAUUUUUGGUUACUUUUUAGUGACAAAUAAAGGAGACAGUUAUGUUGUGCUCCUAGCAUAUGAAUAAUCCAUAUGGUUUUGGAUCAUUUUUUACAUCAACCUCUGCUCAUCUCUCAAUUCAAAUUAUUAUUCCCUUUGAAGAAGUUAAAUUUUGGCUAUUUUUAUCCAACCAUUUAUUAUACAUAAAUGACUUAAAUCAAUGGUUAUUUGCGAACCCACAACAAUAACAAGUCAUUAAGAGUUCAUUUGAUAGUGCUUUUUAAAAAUACUUUUAAGCUUAAAAAGCAUUUUUAAAGAAAAAUAGGGUAUUUGACAAAAUUUAGAAAACACUUUAAAAAAUCAUUUAUGGUAAUAAAAAAUCACUAAUAAUAUUUUUUGGAGAAACGCUUGACUGAAAAGUAUAUGACUUGAUUAAAUAAAUACCAUGGCUAAGAAAAGAAACAUUUUAACUCUUACUAUAUACUGCAAUAUUUGGCAAAACCAAAGUUUUUGCCUUCCAUUAGCCUCUCUCCAUUUUACAUAUACUUAAUAAGAUGGUAUUGGUCGAAUCACCUUUUACCUAUAGGUUAAAGAUAAUAAAAUGUUAGGGUACUAAUUGAUGCCUAUGAAACUUAUUAUUCGAACUGUCCAAAUCGUAUAAUAAAAUCUAAGUCAAUGAAUAUGGAUACAAAUAAUGGAAUUAAAGUACAAAAGAAUGGAAUUGUAUAUAACCAAUGAGAUCAAUAUUGAAUAAAAGAAUGUGAUCAAAAUGCAAAGCAGUGUUAUGCUCAAGCUAACAUAUAAAUAAUCCAUAUGGUUUUGGAUCAUUAUCUACCUUCACUCAUCUCUCAUAUCAUUAUCCACAGUUUUGUUAAAUUCUGACCAUCAAGAUGACCCAAAUCAAUGUGCAUUUUUAGCACCCACAACAAAAGUCAUUAGUUUCAAUAGUAGGUUGCAGUUUGUAAAAGAUACCUAAGAGAUGUACAAUCCCCUAAAUUUGCUAUUUAAACCCAUGGUGGCGAAAGAAGUUCGCAUACAAAAAGAAAAAAAUGUAUCUAUUUUGCUCUAUGCUAGACUAAAUAGUAUAACUUGAUUAAAUAAAUAUGAUAAUUAAGUAAACAGAUGGCUUAACUCUAAACAAGGUCCAAUAUUUGGCAAAAUCAAACUAUCUGACUUCCAUUAACCUCUCUCUCCAUAGUCCAUAUUAUAUGUGCUCUACAAGAUGAUAACAAUUGAAUUACCUUCAUAAGGAAAAUGCUAGGGUAUAAGUCAAUAGCUAUUGAACUUGCCAUUCCAAUAGUCCAAGAUGCAUGAUGAUAUGUAGGGUACAAAAGAAUUAAAAUAUAUUAGGAUCAACUCAUAAAAUAAUGACAUCAAGAUAUGAUGAAACGAAUUUGGGUAUGAAGCAAUAAGGCCUAAUUGUUCAUGUGACACAUUAUGAUUGAUCCUACUUUUCAAUAUUUAUUGAUUCAAUACUAUAGCAGAACCCUCCAAUAUAUCUAUGAUCUCUACCAUAUAAUUUUAUGUGUGAUAUCUAAGAAAUGUGUACUUUGAUCUUAGAAGAAGUGAGUUUUUUUCCAAGCUGCAUUGAGUAACUUGAGAUUCUCAUAUCCAAGUAGCAUAGAGAGUAGCCUUACCACAAAAUUAUAUGGUCUAUAUGACGUGUUUUAUGUGUUCUAAUAUAUUUCAAAUGACUUGGUUUUGUGUGGCUUGAACUUGCAAGAAAAGGUAAUGUAUAAGGAGGGACAUAUGUAGAUUUUGGAUGGAAAGUAACAAAUAUUGUAACUAAGGUUAUUUCUUUGGUGGAAGUACCAUAGCAAUCUCAUGGAGUGGAAAAAGAUAUAUCAAAGUUGUCCUAGGCUUUUUAUACUUUUAUUCUUUUAAAUUAGAAGGACAAAAUUUUUGUUAGGGGAGGGGAUGUGAUAUUUGGUUGUAAAAAAUGUUAAUUUUUAUGCUUAAUGUUGCCUUUAAUUAGAUGUUAAAACUGGUUUAAGGUUGAUCAUGGUUAGGCCUAAUUUAAGAUUAGUUAUAAUUAAUUGAUGACUUAAGUUUAUGUGUUGGGAUGAUUGACCUAAUUACAAUUAUGAGAACUUGAAAAGAUGAAUUAUUUAGGAAGUCUUAAAAGUAAAAAGUGGGGACUUCAGUGUAAAAAGUAAGUUUUGUAGUAGCUCUACAGCAUUGGCACCUAAAACUUUCUCUGCAGAGUAUUUAAGAAGCUAAUAAUUUUUAUAAGUCUUGCUUUAGAAGAAGACUCACUAAUUCUUAAGUAAUAAAAUUAUCAUUAAAAUUGUGGAAUCCCAAGAAAAGAAAAUAGAGAGAUUCAGUCCAAUUUGGAAAAGUCAGACUUCUAGAAUUCAAUGCAGAAAGGUUUGGAAAAGUUAUUAGCCACGUCUGAAGUAUAUUUUUGACAUUGUCAAUGCCCCUGAAGAACAGUCUUUUAUUUAUUAUAUUCAAAAAUCUUGAAGUCUAAGAACUCUUUUGACCAGAAGCUACCUUAAUAAACUCUACAAGACUAAGUCAUAAGCAAUUUGUUGAGGUUAGAAAUUUCGUCAACAGCACAUGGAUUAAUCUGGUGUUGAUGCUUGUUGCAAGCAUUCUGGAUGGCCGUCAAGGUUAAGGGAUCAGCCAACAAGGCUUAUAUCAUACUCUAAUCAAUCUCUAGUUGUGUAAUUUUCAAUUUUGGUUCAUUUUUAUCAGUUUUGUUGGGGUGCAACAAAGUCACUUUUAAACCCGGAUGGAUCAUUCAAAUAACAACUCUUAGAACAACUUGUAGGAUAUGAUGUCAAAUGUCAAUAAAAAGUUUGAAUUAUUGAUACUAACUGACUUUCAUGAUCCUAGAAUUCAUAUCAGAGUCGAGGAUCAUGAUUCAAGUCAUGGAGCAUCAUGUUAAGAUACAACAACGUCAAUUUGGGGGUAGACCACCCAAAUGACCGAAUCUUAAAAUAAACUUAUGUGGUAUGAUGUUGAAUGCUAUAAAAAGUUUGACCUACAUUAACACCAAUUGGUUUUUCAAAUGAGAUGAUCAAAAUCCCGGAUCCAACAAUUGAUAUUAGAACUGAGAGUCAUGGGAGUGUCAUGUUGGGGUGCAACAAUGCUGCUACAGGAUGACUCACUCAAACAGACAACUCUUAGAACAGGCCUAGAGGGUACGAUGUGGAAUAUCUUGAAAAGAAUUGCUGGCCUACCUCACUGGCAAUUGGGUUUCAGCUAGAAAGGAUUCUGUUGCGUACUCUGCAUUGAUGUCCCCAUCCAAGGGUGGUUCAGCACGACAAGCAAACCAUAAACAAAGCAAGUAAAUACAUUCUAACUCUGAAAAAUCAAAGUUUGAAAUCAAGUAAAUACAUGGAAGCUUCCCCCACAAUUUCAGUAGACAGUGACACAAAUGUCAAAGACUCAGGCGGUGUUUAUUUUUUUACUUAAUUCUAAAUAGAACCUUAAUACUUAAUAGUAUUAAAUAUUAGGUUGUUUGUUUUUUAGUAUUUUAUUUCUAUUAAGUAUUAAAAAGUAAAAAAAAUCAUUAUGUUAUUUUUUCUAUUUAGAAAAAACCACAUAUUUUGGCUUUUUCUAUUUAGUAAAAAGUUUAUAAUAAGUCAUGAAAAAGUAAAAAAACAAACAACCUAAAUUCUAAAACUAAAUGGUUUUCAGUAAAAAGCCAAAAAAACAAACACCACCUCAGUCUAAGAAAGUUUGGAACCACUAGGAGACUGAUUAUUAAAACAAGUCAAUGGAAGACAACAAACUGAAAACCCUCUAUAAAAUUUUCAAGCACAUCUGAACAAAAUGGAGAUUUCAUCAUUUCUCUAACGAUUUAGAAUCUAAUAGAUUUUCGCUUAAAUCCUUGAAGUUCAUGUCUUUGUAAGCUUAUCUUCCUGCAAUGAAAACUGCAGUACCUUAUUGUCUCUGCUGGUUGCCUCUCCUCCUCCUCCUCCUCCUCCUGCUGCUGCUGCUCCCAGCGUCGGUUGUUGCUCAAGCUUAUAGUAACAAAACUCUGGGCUCAUCCCUCACAGCGGGAGACAGUGAAUCUUGGGCAUCAGAGUCUGGCGAAUUCGCUUUUGGAUUCCAAGAGAUUGGAACUGGGGGUUACUUGCUGGCUGUUUGGUUCAACAAGAUAUCUGAAAAGACCGUAGUUUGGUCAGCCAAUGGGGGUAAUCUAGUGAAAAAGGGAUCCAAAGUUCAACUUACUAGUGAUGGAAAUUUUGUGCUGAAUGAUCAGGAAGGUGAAAAGAUAUGGCCGGUUGAUUCUACGAUUACUGGUGUGGCCUAUGCAGCCAUGCUCGACAGUGGAAACUUCGUGCUGGUAAGGCAGGAUUCCAUUAAUUUGUGGGAGAGUUUUGAUAAUCCAACAGAUACGAUAUUGCCCACACAGGCACUGAAUCAAGGCAGCAAGCUUGUUGCUCGUUUAUCAGAAAAGAAUUACUCGAGUGGAAGAUUCAUGUUUAAGCUACGGUCAAAUGGAAGUCUGACGAUGUACACCACUGAUUUUCCACAGGAUUCUGAAAAUUUUCCUUAUUGGUCAUCACAGACUACUGGCUUUCAAGUGAUUUUCAACCAGUCCGGUUCCAUCUACCUUAUGGCGAGGAAUGGAAGCAAACUUAUGGAUGUGCUCACAAAUGAAGCUUCAACAGAAGACUACUACCAGAGAGCAAUUCUUGAAUAUGAUGGAGUUUUCAGACAAUAUGUCUACCCAAAGUCUGCUGGCUCAAGUGCUGGGAGGCCUAUGGCAUGGUCCUCUUUAACCUCGUUCGUGCCCAAGAAUAUCUGCAAAAGUAUCAGGGCAGAGAUAGGCAGUGGAGCUUGUGGCUUCAACAGUUACUGCACAAUGGGAAAUGAUGACAGGCCAUACUGCCAGUGCCCUCCUCGUUACACCUUCUUGGAUCCACAAGAUGAUAUGAGUGGAUGCAAACAGAACUUUGUACCAGAGAGUUGCAGUGAAGAAUCACAAGAGAAGGGUCUGUUUGGUUUUGAAGAGAUGACAGAUGUGGACUGGCCGCUGUCAGAUUAUGGGCAUUUUACAAAAGUUACAGAGGAUUGGUGCAGACAAGCUUGCUUGGAUGAUUGUUUUUGUGAUGUUGCCAUUUUUGGAGAUGGGGGGGGUUGUUGGAAGAAGAGAACCCCUCUCUCAAAUGGGAGGACUGAGUCUAAUAAUGGACGAACAAUUCUGAUUAAAGUACGGAAAGACAAUUCUACUUGGGAACCCAGAAGUGAAGGUAACAAAGAUCAGUCAACUUUGAUCAUCACAGAAUCUGUGCUGCUAGGUGGCUCUGUUUUUCUGAAUUGCCUUCUCCUCCUAUCAGCUUUUAUGUACAUCUUCCGUAAGAGAAAGUCAAAGACUCUUCAGCCACACCAGGCCAUGGUGGGGGCAAAUCUAAAAAAUUUCAGUUACAAGGCGCUAGAAGUGGCUACCGAUGGCUUCAAGGAUGAGCUGGGAAGGGGAGCUUUUUCAACAGUUUACAAAGGGACUCUAGCCCAUGAUAAUGGAAAAUUAGUUGCAGCAAAGAAGUUGGACAGGAUGGUGAGAGGAGUGGAGGUGGAAUUUGAAACAGAAGUGAGUGCAAUUGGCCGAACAAAUCACAAGAAUCUAGUCCAGCUCCUGGGGUUCUGCAAUGAGGAGCAACACCGGCUUCUUGUAUACGAGUUCAUGAGCAAUGGUUCUUUGGCAACCUUCCUAUUUGGAAACUCAAGGCCAGACUGGUAUAGAAGAACACAGAUCAUCUUAGGAACUGCAAGAGGGCUCUUGUACUUGCAUGAAGAGUGCAGCACCCAGACCAUACAUUGUGACAUCAAGCCUCAAAAUAUACUCCUGGAUGACUUUUUAACAGCGAGGAUUUCAGAUUUUGGGCUAGCCAAGCUUUUGAAGACGGAUCAGACU